rnacentral:rRNA from 1 species
UACGUAGGGGUCUAGCGUUGUCCGGAAUUAUUGGGCGUAAAGAGCUCGUAGGCGGCUUGUCACGUCGGGUGUGAAAGCCCGGGGCUUAACCCCGGGUCUGCAUUCGAUACGGGCUAGCUAGAGUGUGGUAGGGGAGAUCGGAAUUCCUGGUGUAGCGGUGAAAUGCGCAGAUAUCAGGAGGAACACCGGUGGCGAAGGCGGAUCUCUGGGCCAUUACUGACGCUGAGGAGCGAAAGCGUGGGGAGCGAACAGG